rnacentral:tRNA from 1 species
GCCCAGGUGGCGGAAUUGGUAGACGCGCUAGAUUCAGGGUCUAGUACUGGCAACAGUGUGGAGGUUCGAGUCCUCUCCUGGGCA